AUUGAACGCUGGCGGCAGGCCUAACACAUGCAAGUCGAACGGUAACAGGAAGCAGCUUGCUGCUUCGCUGACGAGUGGCGGACGGGUGAGUAAUGUCUGGGAAGCUGCCUGAUGGAGGGGGAUAACUACUGGAAACGGUAGCUAAUACCGCAUAAUGUCGCAAGACCAAAGAGGGGGACCUUCGGGCCUCUUGCCAUCGGAUGUGCCCAGAUGGGAUUAGCUUGUUGGUGGGGUAACGGCUCACCAAGGCGACGAUCCCUAGCUGGUCUGAGAGGAUGACCAGCCACACUGGAACUGAGACACGGUCCAGACUCCUACGGGAGGCAGCAGUGGGGAAUAUUGCACAAUGGGCGCAAGCCUGAUGCAGCCAUGCCGCGUGGAUGAAGAAGGCCUUCGGGUUGUAAAGUACUUUCAGCGGGGAGGAAGGGAGUAAAGUUAAUACCUUUGCUCAUUGACGUUACCCGCAGAAGAAGCACCGGCUAACUCCGU
rnacentral:rRNA from 1 species